AAUGCCAUUGAAAGAUAGGAGUCGACUUUCUGUUCAAGAAACAGAAGCCGUUUCAGCGAGAUACUCACGCAGGCAAUGGAAAAUUCUAGGGUUCUUCAUAACUCACUUAUUUUUGAACUCAGAAUCAAUUGUUUGACGAAUAUAAAUUGGACCGGGGUCUACGUAUUGGCUCGAGGAGUAUUGAGGAACCGGAUUUGCAGGCGAGCAGGCU